AUUGAACGCUGGCGGCAGGCCUAACACAUGCAAGUCGAACGAGUGGCGGACGGGUGAGUAAUGUCUGGGAAACUGCCCGAUGGCGGGGGAUAACUACUGGAAACGGUAGCUAAUACCGCAUACCAUCGGAUGUGCCCAGAUGGGAUUAGCUAGUAGGUGGGGUAACGGCUCACCUAGGCGACGAUCCCUAGCUGGUCUGAGAGGAGGACCAGCAACACGGGAACUGAGACACGGCCCAGACGCCUACGGGAGGCAGCAGUGGGGAAUAUUGCGCAAUGGGCGCAAGCCUGAGGCAGCCAUGCCGCGUGUAUGAAGAAGGCCUUCGGGUUGUAAAGUACUUUCAGCGGGGAGGCGUUACCUGCAGAAGAAGCACCGGCUAACUCCGUGCCAGCAGCCGCGGUAAUAC
rnacentral:rRNA from 1 species